CAAGUCCUCUUAUAAUUUCUCAUCUCCAUGUUGGCUUUCUUGUUCCUAAAAGCCAUCCCUUUCUGAGCUAUUUACUAUGGCACAUCCCAUACACAGAAAAUACCUCCUCAAGCAGGGAGCUUACUGGGACAGACACGAGUCAGUCAGCACCAGCUGACAAGGAACAAUUCAAUACAGCCUAUUCUGCACUCUCUGGGCCUGGGACACGAAUCCAAAGGCUAAUAAAGCAGUAAUCCCUUGCUGAUCCACAGGCUCUGUUUCCCACAUCAUUACUCCAGGUUAUAUCUGCUCUCACCACCCUAGAUCUCCCUUCUCAUCCUUCUUCCCCACCUUUCAGUGUCCUCACUAGUGUGACAUCAUCACAGCCACCUUUCAGGACCCACAAAUGGAGCCACUGAUACUCAGUUGUUUCAGUCCUCCCCUGUUAAUUGCUGCUAUCCCAAAGCACAGAGUAUUUGGUUUGCUUGUUGAGCUGGUGGGGUUUAGCUUGUCUCAGAAAUGCCCCUGGUACCCCCCCAGCAUGGGAGCUGCUUCUGGCUCCCAGGGAGCUGCUGAGAGACUGUAAAAAAAAAAAAACAAAAAAACCCAAAAGCCCUGUAAUCUCCAUCUACCCUGCCACUGCUCAUUCAUCGGUACCAGGAAGCUCUAAGCCUUGUCACAGCUCAGACAACCUCCAGUUCAGUCCAUGGCCCUGUAAACAUCUCUGGCAGGCAGAAGGAAGGCAGGAGGAAGGCAAGAAGACAUGCAGCUCCCUGGCAAAGCCUGGCUCCACUGUCCCAGCUCAAGCCCUUCACACAGUUUGGUCUCCCUGUGCUACAGAGAAGGCACACAGGACCCUCCCUGCUCCAUCCACAGCUCCUGGUCAGCUGCUGGCCCUCAAAGUGACCUGCCUGCACUGGGUGGCAUGGUGUGAACUGAACAUGAGCACUGUGAUGAAGCCAGGCUGCUGCAUUGAUGGCCGAGGCUGUAAAAGCCAGCCAUCCUCUUCUGACCCCAUUGCCCACUCCUCCCUCCAAGAGACCAAACCUGUGAUGGCAACACAAUCCCUCCCCAUGGAUCCAGUCAGUCCAGCUGCUCCUACUGCAGGUUUUCUUCCAGAGAAGAGGCCAGCCUGACAGCUGUUUAUACCAGCCCUCUGUUUAUACCCAGCUGGCUGAGGCACUGCAGCUUUUCCUUAAUCCUGAGAUUAACAGAGAAAGGAAAACACAAAGAUUAAGGAGGCCCUGAAGCAAAAACAUGGCAAAACAUGUAACAGCAAACUUUGCUGCUUUUGAAAUGCGAGGAGUGAGAACAAGCAAUAAAAAAAUUUGGCCAGAUGCUGCACUGUACCUGGAAUUGAGUCCCUAAGGAAAGCAUCUCACAGCCUUUGGUGCUUGUGGUGAAGCAAUACAGCAGCAUCACAGUGAGAAGAACACAGUGCUGCAAGCGACCCAACACAGGUUUGGCUGGCACCAGGAUUUGCUGCACAGCUUGAGGUCAGCAUUUACAAGAGGAGGCUUCUUCACUCUGAUGGCACAGACACAGGAUAGCAGCACCGAGGGACAGCCCCAGCCAAGAGCACUGUAAAACACAGAAACCCCUCCUCUGCAUCUUCCUUCUUUUAGUUGCUCCUCAGGUUCCUUCAUUACCUACUAAACACAAACACCCUGAGGCUGGUACCUCACACCCCUCUUCCUCACUGUUUCCAGGUGGGUCUUGUCUGAGUGAUGGGGAGCCCUUGGUGCUGGUCAGACCCCACCUUUCCUGUGUGUGGGGCAGUGCCUGGGCAUGUGGGUGCUCUGGGACUUCACAGUGAGCUCUUCUAUUGCAUUCAUGCACAUGGCUCUAAGGAUGCUCCCAAAGUCCUGACCUGGUGCAUGCUGCACCAAACAACAAAAUAAAAGCAGCAUGCUAAGGAGAUGUCUCUUCUCUAAAUUCAUCAAUAUCCCAGCCAGGGAGGCAAGGAGAAUCUGCUAUUUGGUUUUGUCUCUACAGAGGCUUAUUUAAUUCCUCACUUGCUGUAAAGGCAAGGAGAACUAGGACAAAGGGAAGAGAAGGGCUGGGCUUGAGGAAAGGGUUUGGAGGAAGGAAAAAGGUGGAGGUACAGAAUAAAUGGAAAAACAAAAUAAGAGACAGAGGUCUGUCCUAAACAGUAACAAAAAUCUCUCCUGGCUGUCAAUCUCUAGCUCCUCUACUCCUUGUGUUGUCAUUAGUCCACAGUUCAAAGCUCAGCCAAUGUGAGGGAGGAAUCUCCCUUCCCACCCAAGCUUCUGCAGGAGGGAGAGGAGCUCACUGCCAGCUGUCCAAGCCUGUGUCUGUCCUGGCCUUGCUGGUCCUUUUCUGUGCAGUAGUGAGCUCUCCCUGACAUGGACUUUUGGGAUGUGCAGCAGAUCCAGGCAUGGCCCCUCC
rnacentral:lncRNA from 1 species